CCGUAGCACUGCAGUUGAAACUGGACGGCUUGAGUGCAGUUGAGGCAGGCGGAAUUCGUGGUGUAGCGGUGAAAUGCUUAGAUAUCACGAAGAACCCCGAUUGCGAAGGCAGCCUGCUAAGCUGCAACUGACGUUGAGGCUCGAAAGUGUGGGUAUCAAACAGGAUUAGAUACCCUGGUAGUCCGCACGGUAAACGAUGGAUACUCGCUGUCGGCGAUACACGGUCGGCGGCCAAGCGAAAGCGUUAAGUAUCCCACCUGGGGAGUACGCCGGCAACGGUGAAACUCAAAGGAAUUGACGGGGGCCCGCACAAGCGGAGGAACAUGUGGUUUAAUUCGAUGAUACGCGAGGAACCUUACCCGGGCUUGAACUGUGCCUGACAGCCUCAGAGAUGGGGCUUCCAGCAAUGGCAGGCAUGGAGGUGCUGCAUGGUUGUCGUCAGCUCGUGCCGUGAGGUGUCGGCUUAAGUGCCAUAACGAGCGCAACCCCUCCCGCCAGUUGCCAUCAGGUAAAGCUGGGCACUCUGGGGGCACUGCCACCGCAAGGUGUGAGGAAGGUGGGGAUGACGUCAAAUCAGCACGGCCCUUACGUCCGGGGCUACACACGUGUUACAAUGGGAGGUCACAGAGGGCUGCUACCCGGCGACGNNNNNCCAAUCCCCAAACCCUCCCUCAGUACGGACUGGAGUCUGCAACCCGACUCCCCGAAGCUGGAUUCGCUAGUAAUCGCGCAUCAGCCACGGCGCGGUGAAUACGUUCCCGGGCCUUGUACACACCGCCCGUCAAGCCAUGAAAGCCGGCGGUGCCUGAAGUGCGUAACCGCAAGGGGCGCCCUAGGGUAAAGCCGGUGAUUGGGGCUAAGUCGUAACAAGGUAACCA
rnacentral:rRNA from 1 species